UCUCUAUCAAGCAUUAGAUCGACAUAAAGCCAUCUGGGAAGUCGUUGAAGCCGUGAUUUGUGCGGUAACUGGGAUUCUAGAACCCCCUGAAGAUAUUAGUGAAGUUUCGACGGAUAUCAUUAAUCAA
rnacentral:rRNA from 1 species